GACGAACGCUGGCGGCGUGCUUAACACAUGCAAGUCGAACGGAAAGGCCCUGCUUUUGUGGGGUGCUCGAGUGGCGAACGGGGGAGUAACAUGUGAGUAACCUGCGCUUGACUUUGGGAUAACGUCAGGAAACUCGGGCUAAUACCGGAUAGGAGCGCCUGCUGCACGGUGGGGGUUGGAAAGUUCCGGCGGUUGGGGAUGGACUCGCGGCUCAUCAGCUUGUUGGUGGGGUAGUGGCAUACCAAGGCUUGGACGGGUAGGCGGCCUGAGUGGGGAGCCGGCCACAUUAGGACGGAGAUACGGCCCAGACUCCAACGGGAGGCAGCAGAGGAGAAGAGUGCACAAUGGGAGGGAGACAAGUGCGGCAACGCCGCGUGCGGGAUGACGGCCUUCGGGCUGUAACCCGCUUUCGCCUGGGACGAAGCGUGAGUGACGGUAAUGGGUAAAGAAGCACCGGCUAACUACGUG
rnacentral:rRNA from 1 species